rnacentral:rRNA from 1 species
AGACGUCUACAUUAGAUACCCCGGUAGUCCCAGCCCUAAACGAUGCGCGUUAGGUGUAUCGGUGACCACGAGUCACCGAGGUGCCGAAGGGAAACCGUGAAACGUGCCGCCUGGGAAGUACGGUCGCAAGGCUGAAAACUUAAAGGAAUUGGCGGGGGAGCACCACAACGGGUGGAGCCUGCGGUUUAAUUGGACUCAACGCCGGGAAGCUCACCGGAUAAGACAGCGGAAUGAUUGCCGGGCUGAAGACCCUGCAUGACCAGCUG